CGCAGCCCCAGACGACGGCACGAUCCAGAGAGAGGGGCUAUGGCGCCGCACGUCUCCACGACGGAGGCCAGUGGCAGUCAAGACCCCCUGCUCAUGCGCGCUCUCCGAGGAAGUCGUCCUCCACUGCGUCCCGAAGGUGGGGGCCAACGAGCUCCGACGGCCCGGAUCAAGACCUCUCCCCAGUCUACUCAUCGCGGUAGCGCGGAAUGGGAAGCUUUUGCUGCGAAAAAAUGAAGGAGGGUAGAAUGUUGAAUUGGAAUAUGGUGCUGAAGAUCCUCUUUGCACCCUUCAAGAAGGAAUACAAGAUCCAUGGUACUUGCAAUGUGUCAGCUAAUGGUUUACUUACAGCGCAACAUCGGACUCAAAGCUAGAGAAAAUGAUAGUUUCCUUGGCAUACUCAAAGAUUACCUCUGAAUCACUGUGCUACUUUUCUAUGAUAUCUUUUCUUAGCUCCCAGAUAACAUACAACCAUCAGGACCGCUGGCACACAUGUUAGAACCAUCAGUUUUUCCUAACUAUUUCCAGUGACAUGGCUGGAGUUUUUCUUAUGCAAAUGUGUUAGACCUACAUUCCACAUUACAUUGUUUUUUAUCUCCAUCUAGGAGAGUACAGUCAAAUCAACUUCAACAGAAAGUAAGUGAAAAUCAGUAAAUGACAAGAAAAUUAUUAUAUCGCGUCUUACUUGAGUUUCUUGCCGCCUGAACAACGUUGGUCCUUAUCGUUUUUUAAUUCAUAUGUGAUUUUCUAAUUCAGACUGUAAGAUGGACAGUACAUGCAACUAUAUGCACCACAUGGUUUUUCUUUCUCGUGUUAGUGUAGUUUUUUCGACUAAAUUUGAGAAAUGAGGUCCCGUGUUACUCAUCAAAAUUUAUAAUGGCUAACUGGGCAUUCAUUGAGUUAUUACUUCUCAAAGUGUAGCAUUGUUUUGUGUUCAUUUUUCCUCUGCAAGAGUACGCUUCUAUGUAGCCCUUCCAUCAUGGUAUUCAACUAUGUAUAUGGUAGUAUAUCAAGCCUAUUUGCUGCCUCUAAAUGAGGGUACUACGGUGCAUUUAAUCUCGGCGUAGAGUGACGCUUUGGAUUACCUCAAAUAGGCGCAGGCUGUGGAAAAGGAUUGAUUUGAUAUUAUAUUUUGGUUAGAAACCGCUUGCGAAAAAUGGUUUCAACAAGAAUUUUUAUGUUCUUUCUCAGCAACCACUUGUCAAACAGGUAUAACAUAUGCACUGGCAAAUAAGUUUCUGAAAGCUGGUGAUAAUGAACAUCGUGUUAGAAUGAACUGGUUUUAAUUGUUAAACCUGUUUCAGUGUGCUCUUCAAGCUCCAGAAGAAGAAGGUAUGCACCAUAUCCGUGCGCAAACAGGGUGACUUCCUGGCUGGCGGCGGCUGAUGUUCCAUUCCAUGAUUGUGCUCCUUAUCGGCAGCUGGUCUGAUUGAUUUUUCUUCACGAUUUUAAGUUCAUGUAGCUAUUAGAAAUUGCCAGUGGAGGUACACGGCACCAGCUGUUGUAAGUCACUGCUGGUUCUUGUUUAAAAUCGUGGUCUUGAAUUCUUGAUAUGAUUACAUGUCAAGCUGGGGGUAAGCAGGCAAUUAUUUCAUGUUUAAUCUUGUCACUUGGUCGGUUCAUGGGAAAUGAAAACUCCUAUAAGAAAUUAGUAAUAUAUUGUGCAGUAAAUCUUCUCGGGCGCCUUUUGUUUUAACAAGAUUUUAGCUUAACCAACAAUAAUAUUUGACAAUGCUUCGUGAGAUAGUUACCUGAUAACAGAAAUAACAACUUUUGUAACAAAUAGCUAAAUUUCUGAUUUGGAAUUCUUUAUUGAACAGUUAGUAUUUUAUUUACUGAAUUUUUUUUCAGGUUCAUGUUUAUGCUUUUCUAAAAAAGUUGUUUGCAUAGAUUACUUUUUGGCUGACUAAUUGAAUCAGUAAAUCUUCUUGGGCGCCUUUUGUUUUAACAAGAUUUUAGCUUAACCAACAAUAAUAUUUGA